CGGGAAAAUUAAAAACUCAAAAUGUUUUAAAACAUUACACUUUUAUUGAUUGCUGUCUUGAGCUCUGAUUCCAUCAACAACUGUCAGUCCAUACUUUACCAAAUGCAAUAUAACCAUGCAUUUCCCUUUCUUUGAUUCUUAGCAUAAUUUAUGUGCCCUUUUGAUAAUCUUUUGCAUGCUCUAGGUGCCCUUUUUUAUUGGAGUUACCAUUCCCACUGUG
rnacentral:lncRNA from 1 species